rnacentral:rRNA from 1 species
AGAGUUUGAUCAGUGGCUCGAGACGACGCUGGCGGCGUGCCUAACACAUGCAAGUCGAACGAGGUCCAUCCUUCGGGAGAAGACCUAGUGGCGAACGGGUGAGUAACACGUGAGGAACCUGCCCCGAAGACCGGGAUAACCCUCCGAAAGGAGAGCUAAUACCGGAUACCCCCACCGAGCCGCAUGGUUUGGUGAGGAAAUGGAUUCCGCUUCGGGAGGGCCUCGCGGCCUAUCAGCUAGUUGGUGGGGUAACGGCCCACCAAGGCAUCGACGGGUAGCUGGUCUGAGAGGACGAUCAGCCACACUGGGACUGAGACACGGCCCAGACUCCUACGGGAGGCAGCAGUGGGAAUCUUGCGCAAUGGGCGAAAGCCUGACGCAGCAACGCCGCGUGGGGAUGAAGGCUCUCGGGUUGUAAACCCCUUUCAGCAGGGACGAGUCAAGACGGUACCUGCAGAAGAAGCCCCGGCUAACUACGUG